AACAAAUUUGUUUUAAAAGAUCACUCUGCUUUGUAGAGAAUAGAAUAUAGGAAAGCAAGAAUGGAAACAGAGCUAUUAGGAGGCUAUUGGAGAAUAAUGCAGAUGAGAGAUUAUUACACUGUCUGAACUAAGGAGGUGGCGGUAAAGGUGUAGAGAAGAUGGAUUUUUUUUUUUAAACGGUCCCACUGUCUAGAGUGCAGUGGCGUGAUCACAGCUCACUGCAACCUAGACCUCCUGGGCUCAGGCGAUCCUCCCACCUCAGCAUCCUGAGUAGCUGGGACUAUAGGCGCAUGCCACCAUGCCUGGCUAAUUUUUCGUAUUUUUUUUGUAGAGAUUGGGUCUCUCCACAUUGCCCCGGCUGCUCUCCAACCCCUGAGUUCAAGUGAUUCACCUCCCUUGGCCUCCCAAAGUACUGGGAUUACAGGCGUGAGCCACCGUGCCUGGCUGAGAAGAUGGAUUUAAGACAUAUUUUGGAGGUAACAUUGUCAGGACUUCCUGAAGGAUUAGAUGUGGAAGGGAAGGAUAAGAAACAGACCAAGGAUAACUUUCAAAUGUAUGCUUAAGCAACUGGAUGGAUAAUGAUGCCAUUGAGUGAGUGAAAAACUUGAUGGAAGUGGAAGAUUCAGAGUUCAUUUCUAUCUAGGUUAAUUUGAGACAUACCAGAGCAUAAGUUAACGGAAAGUGACCAGAAGAGGUGUGCAGUUUCCAGGCCUGGCCCAUACAGACCUCCAACAGGUGCUCCCCUGUGCUGUUACUCCUUCUGCCAACUGGAAGCAGAUGGUGACCAGGCUCUGGAGAAGGCAAGGCCUGAAGAUGGGAGAUUCCUAAGUGGAGGAGAACUGUGCCUUACUGACCUAAAUAUCCACUCAGUAUUGUUAUGUGAGAAUAAAUAAACU
rnacentral:lncRNA from 1 species